rnacentral:rRNA from 1 species
GGUUAAGUUAACAAGGGCGCAUGGUGAAUGCCUUGGCACUAGGAGCCGAUGAAGGACGGGACUAACACUGAUAUGCUUCGGGGAGCUGUACGUAAGCUAUGAUCCGGAGAUUUCCGAAUGGGGCAACCCAGCAGUUUUAAUCAACUGUUACCACUAGAUGAAUUCAUAGUCUAGUUGGAGGUAAACGCUGUGAACUGAAACAUCUCAUUAGCAGCAGGAAUAUAA